AUGGAUGGGUCUUGCUUCCUGGUCAUUGAUGGUCAGACUCUGACAGAAUCUGAACCAGCAGUUAAAAAGCCUGGAGAAUCCCACAAACUGACCUGUACAACAUCUGGAUUCACAUUCAGUGACUACUACAUGCACUGGAUCAGACAGGCUCCUGGAAAAGGACUGGAGUGGGUUGCUUAUAUCAGUGGUAGUGGUGGCAGCACAUACUACUCCCAGUCAGUUCAAGGCCGGUUCACCAUCUCCAGAGACAACAACAGACUGCAGAUGAACAGUCUGAAGACUGAAGAUUCUGCUGUUUAUUAUUGUGCUCGACACUCACAUAUUGAUCUCAUCCAGCCAGACUCAAUGGUUGUGCAGCCUGGACAGUCUUUGACCAUCACCUGUCAGGUCUCUGGUUAUUCUCUGACUGAUAGCAGCUAUGCAACAGGAGUUCAGAGUGAGAUCAAACUGGACCAGUCUCCCUCUGAGGUGAAAAGACCUGGAGAGACACCGUUUCAGUACCUUGAGGUCAAGAGUCUGACAGCAGAAGAUUCUGCUGUUUACUUCUGUGCUCGAAGAGUCACAGUGACUGAAGACAGUGAAGCAGCUGCACAAAAACCUCCACGGACACAACAUUUGACCAGAGAUGAAGCAGUUUUCAAGAAGCAAUAUGUUGGUGACUAAAACAAUAGAAUAUUUAUAUUAUCUUCUUAUCUGCUGCCAAUUACACUC